AACGAACGCUGGCGGCAUGCCUAACACAUGCAAGUCGAACGAGACCUUCGGGUCUAGUGGCGCACGGGUGCGUAACGCGUGGGAACCUGCCCUUAGGUUCGGAAUAACUCCCCGAAAGGGGUGCUAAUACCGGAUAAUGUCUUCGGACCAAAGAUUUAUCGCCUUUGGAUGGGCCCGCGUUGGAUUAGCUAGUUGGUAGGGUAAAAGCCUAUCAAGGCGACGAUCCAUAGCUGGUCUGAGAGGAUGAUCAGCCACACUGGGACUGAGACACGGCCCAGACUCCGACGGGAGGCAGCAGUGGGGAAUAUUGGACGAUGGGCGAAAGACUGAUCCAGCAAGGCCGCGUGAGUGAUGAAGGCCUUAGGGUUGUAAAGCUCUUUUACCCGGGAGGAUAAUGACAGUACCGGGAGAAUAAGCUCCGGCUAACUCCGUG
rnacentral:rRNA from 1 species